UACGAAGGGAGCUAGCGUUGUUCGGAUUUAUUGGGCGUAAAGCGCUCGCAGGUGGUCCGCUGCGUCGUGCGUGAAAGACCCCGGCUCAACUGGGGGAUGUCGUGCGAUACGGGCGGACUGGAGGCCAGUAGGGGGAUGCGGAAUUCCGGGUGUAGUGGUGGAAUGCGUAGAGAUCCGGAGGAACACCAGCGGCGAAGGCGGCAUCCUGGACUGGUCCUGACACUCAGGAGCGAAAGCGUGGGGAGCGAUCCGG
rnacentral:rRNA from 1 species